rfam:Camelus ferus unplaced genomic scaffold scaffold79655, whole genome shotgun sequence.
GAGGGUAUAGCUCAAGUGGUAGAUUGCAUGCUUAGCAUGCACGAGGUCCUGGGUUCAAUCCCCAGUACCCCCC